rnacentral:rRNA from 1 species
UACGAAGGGGGCUAGCGUUGCUCGGAAUCACUGGGCGUAAAGGGCGCGUAGGCGGGCCAUCAAGUCAGGGGUGAAAGCCCCCAGCUCAACUGGGGAAGUGCCUCUGAUACUGGUGGCCUCGAGGGAGGUAGGGGCGUGCGGAACUUCCGGUGGAGCGGUGAAAUGCGUAGAUAUCGGAAGGAACACCGGUGGCGAAAGCGGCGCGCUGGACCUCUUCUGACGCUGAGGCGCGAAAGCCAGGGGAGCGAACGGG